AUGUUUUAUCUUUAUUUCAUUUCUCCGUCAACUCAUGUACCAUGACUUGAGUUGACCAACAAUUAAAGAAGACAUGCUCCACCUGUAAACCUCCACCUUCAACACCACCAGUAAGGUGGAGGUAGAGAAGAGAACCCUGUUGACGAAAAAAGUAAGAAAACUUAUUUUUAACCAGCUAACAAUUUUAAAUAUGAAUGAAAUUAAGGUCAAAUUUCAAAGCUGUUCUUUCUUCUGUCCAUGUUCUCUUUUUUAUAAACUCUGAUGUCUUUUCUCUUUAUUUCAUUUCUCCGUCAACUCAUGUACCUCAACUUGAGUUGACCAACAAUUAAAGAAGACGACCUGCUCCAACUGCUGAUCUACUGGUUGUAACAGAUUGUGGAAAAGCAUCACCAGCAGCACUGGACCAAUCAGGAGAGAGAAGACACAGAGGACUGAAGGGACUCAGAAAAUCCUGCUGGAAAUCCCAAGAUGAAGUUUCCUGAUGCAACAGGGGGACACCUGAGGACACAGAAUAAAGAAGGACCAUGUGAAGCAGGUCCUUCAAUAACAAACCAAGCAUGAGUUGACCAACACUGACAGCAGGUUACUUUGUCCAUCUACUCAUCUACUGGUUGUAACAGAUGAUGGUGAAGGUUGAGGAGAUAAUGACUUGAUCAGAAACUGUGGCCGACAACUGCAAACGCGCAGCAAACAGCAAAACGAGCUGCAAACAGACUCAUGAAGAGGACGGUCAGAGUCGUCCAUAGCUUUCUUGACUCUUCUGAAGAAUCUUUCUUUGCGUCAUCUCCAGAGAUUCCACAGUCAUCUCCAGAACAGAACCAGAACCAAUCCAGCCUUCUUUAUCAGAUUGUUGAGCCUUUUGAGGUUCCUGGCUCUGAUGCUGCUGCACCAACAGAUGAUAGCAGAAGAGAUGACACUCUCAGCAGCAGACUUAAAGAUCUGCAGCAACUUGCUGCAAACCUUGAAGGAUCUUAGCUUCCUGGAGAAGUGCAGUCUGCUCUGUCUCUUUUUGUAGACGGCUUGUCCAUGUGGUUCCUGCCUUCUGUUGCGUCUCCAGUCCAGUCUGUGUUCCAGAUGAACACCGAGUCAAGAUUAGAUGAUUGUUCCCUCACCAGGCCACAAAGUGAUCCACCAGAUCUCUGUACUCAGCCUCUUGUCUUCCUCUGAUACACAACAACUGCAGAGUCGUCUGAGUAUUUCUGUAGAUGACAGAAGUCGGACUUGUGCUGGAAGUCUGAAGAGUAGAGGGUGAAAAUGAAUGGUGAGAGUACAGUGCCCUGUGGUGUUCCCAUGUUGUUGAGCACCUGGUUAGACACACAGUCCUUCAGUCUCACUAACUGUGGUCUGUUUGUCAGGUUGUCACAGAUGCAGGUGAUUGUUGAGGCCUCCACCUGUGUCUUCUGGAGUUUCUAACAGAGCAGAUCAGGCUGAAUUGUGUUCAAUGCACCUGGGAACCAAAGACCCUGAUCCUCACUGUGCUGCCUGCUUUGUCCAGAUGACAGUGGGUUUGUUGAAGCAGGUGUCUGAUCAACUCCAACUCCACGGCGAUAAGCAAACUGCAGGGGGUCCUGAUAUGUGAUCGUCUGCUUACUCAAGUGGGCCACCAGGAAUCUCUCCAGGACCUUCAGGAUGUGGGAUGUCAGGGCAACAGGUCUACAGUCCUUAUGACUGAUGGGUGACUUUUCUUCGGUACCGGAACCAGACAGGAUGUCUUCCACAACAACGGAACCUCCUCUGGGGUCAGGCAAAGGUUGAAGAGAUGCUGCAGAAUCCCACAGAGGGAAUCUGGGACUGACAGCAUCUGGACCUGCAGCCUCGUUCCUGUUCAGUUUCUCCG